UAAUGUCUUAACGCCCCAAAAUUUGAAAAAAUAUAAUCCUUAGAAAAAACUUAAAAACGUUACGUAUUAAAACCUUUAUCAUUUCAGAGAAAGAAAAUGUCACACCCAAUACGUUAGGGCACGACAUUCUAAUUUUCCCCAAAAAUGAAUUAGGCCAAAAUACUAGUGCAAUAAAAAUUUAAAAGAAUAUCCAUUUAUUCAAGAUUUAAGAAAUUAAUGCCCAAUACGUUAGGGCACAAUUCCUUUAGAAUCCCAAACUCGAAAUAUUUCCUUUAUUAUUUUUUUAAAAUAUUCAUUUCGAGAAAUCAAUGCGUCACAUCCAAUACGUUAGGACACAACNNNNNNNNNNNNNNNNNNNNNNNNNNNNNNNNNNNNNNNNNNNNNNNNNNNNNNNNNNNNNNNNNNNNNNNNNNNNNNNNNNNNNNNNNNNNNNNNNNNNNNNNNNNNNNNNNNNNNNNNNNNNNNNNNNNNNNNNNNNNNNNNNNNNNNNNNNNNNNNNNNNNNNNNNNNNNNNNNNNNNNNNNNNNNNNNNNNNNNNNNNNNNNNNNNNNNNNNNNNNNNNNNNNNNNAAAUAAAUGAAUAAAUAAAAUCAAUAUACAUAAUAAAAAUAAUUACAUACAAAAUAUCAAAUAAAUGAUCAAAAUAAAAAAAUACUUUUUAACAUAUAAACGAAAACAUGAAUUAAUAAUCGAGUGAAGAAAAUAAACAAAACAUAAAGAAUAAAAGGCACAUAAUAUAUACAUUGAAAUUAAAAGUCAUACACAUAAUUUACAUAUGGAAUAUUGGGCUAUGAAACUUAUACAUACAUGAUUCAUUUAUGAAAAUAAAGGAAAAAAAUAUAAACUAUAAAGUAUAUUAAAAAAGCAUAUAUCUGUAUUUUAAAAAAAAAUAUUCAUAUAUAUAAAUAAAUAAAAAUUGGUUAAAAAUAUUAAUAUGUAUACAUACAUAUAUAUACUAAAAUAAAUAUAUACAUAUAGAUUAUAAAAAAUAAUUAUAUUAUACUACAAAAAUAAGCCUGCGUACGUAAAAAAUAUAUACAUAUAUAUUUUUUAAAAAUAAUAAUUAAAUAUGAAAAAGAAAUAAUAAAAAAUAAAAACACUAAUUAAUUAAAAAUAAAGAAAAUAAAAAAAAAGUUAAUUUGAAUUGUAAAUAAAAAUUCUGAGGCAAAUCUGUAAAUAAAUGGAGACUGAAGGACCAAAUUGAACGCGCAUAUUACAUGGAGGGAUCGGAAGGGAGAUUUUCCCUAAACGGCGUCGUCCAAUCAGGAUCGAAUUGAAUUUUAAAAUGAAUAAAAGGGUAAAUUCAAAAAAAAACUUAAUUUUAAAGAUAUUAAAAGGCGAAGGGGCUAAAUAAAAUAAAUAAAUAAAAUUCGCAGUGGUAUCAACCUCUCCCUUUUUUAAAAUCGUAAAUAAGUAAAAAAAAUAAUCGAAAGAAAAAAAUAGUAAGCCACCUUUAAAAAACUGCCAAUCGUUCUCUUUUUUUAUUCCUCCUCUUUCUCUUCUUUUACAAUGAAGGGAGAGGCCUCUAUUUAUAGUUGAGCCUCUCCAAAUCCAACGGUACAGAUCAAUUACAUCAACGGCUGUGAUUAAAGGGUAUCUACAAAUUAAAUCUCUAAGAUUACAAAAUCAUAUCUUCUAAGAUUGCAUAUCAUAUCUAAGAUUAUAUAUCAUAUCUAAGAUUGCAUAUCAUAUCUAAGAUUAUAUAUUAUAUCUAAGAUUGCAUAUCAUAUCUAAGAUUGCAUAUCCCUGAAGAUUAUGUUUCCAUAAGCUUGUAGAUGGACAUUCAACCUUUUCAAGUAAUGCGCAAUUCCGAUCGGGCCAAAUGAUAUUACUUUGGGUUUUUUUUUUGGUGAGCCCGGGCUAAAAUUGGGUAUUACAGCUGCCCCUCUUUGCUCAUUGUCAUGUAACAGGAACGGAGCAAAUACUUUAAAAAUGGCCAAUUUUUGCCCAGUCACGCUAGAUCUUAGUGCUCUUCUUCUUCAAACAACCGCAUUCCAUCCUAUUGCAUCUUCAAAUGUAUAAGAAUUGGUGCUUCAAUCUACUCCACCGCAAUAUCAAGGAGAUAGGACUUACAAUCUUCAACCUAUUCCACUGCUGACCAGGGAGAUAUGAUUACUGGCUUCAAUGUACUCUACUGUAACCACAGGGAGGUAAAAUCCGCCAUCUUCGCUCUGCUCCACUACUGCUUAGGGAGAUAAGAUCUGAAAUCUUCAAUCUAUUCCACUGUUGUCCAGGGAAGUAGAAUUACUGGCUUCAAUGUACUCCACUAUAACCACAGGGAGGUAAAAUCCGCCAUCUUCGAUCUACUCCACUACUGCUUAGGGAGAUAAGACCUGAAAUCUUCAAUCUAUUCCACUGUUGUCUAGGGAAGUAGNNNNNNNNNNNNNNNNNNNNNNNNNNNNNNNNNNNNNNNNNNNNNNNNNNNNNNNNNNNNNNNNNNNNNNNNNNNNNNNNNNNNNNNNNNNNNNNNNNNNUGGCUUCAAUGUACUCCACUAUAACCGACAAGGGAGGUAAAACUCCGCCAUCUUCGAUCUACUCCACUACUGCUUAGGGAGAUAAGACCUGAAAUCUUCAAUCUAUUCCACUGUUGUCUAGGGAAGUAGAAUUACUGGCUUCAAUGUACUCCACUGUAACCACAGGGAGGUAAAAUCCGCCAUCUUCGAUCUACUCCACUACUGCUUAGGGAGAUAAGACCUGAAAUCUUCAAUCUAUUCCACUGUUGUCUAGGGAAGUAGAAUUACUGGCUUCAAUAUACUCCACUGUAACCACAGGGAGGUAAAAUCCGCCAUCUUCGAUCUGCUCCACUACUGUUUAGGGAGAUAAGACCUGAAAUCUUCAAUCUAUUCCACUGUUGUCCAGGAAAGUAGAAUUACUAGCUUCAAUGUACUCCACUAUAACCACAGGGAGGUAAAAUCCACCAUCUUCGAUCUGCUCCACUACUGCUUAGGGAGAUAAGAUCUGAAAUCUUCAAUCUAUUCCACUGUUGUUCAGGGAAGUAGAAUUAUUGGCUUCAAUGUACUCCACUGUAACCACAGGUAGGUAAAAUCCACCAUCUUCGAUCUGCUCCACUACUGCUUAGGGAGAUAAGAUCUGAAAUCUUCAAUCUAUUCCACUAUUGCCCAGGGAAAUAGAAUUACUGGCUUCAAUGUACUCCACUAUAACCACAGGGAGGUAAAAUCCGCCAUCUUCGAUCUGCUCCACUACUGCUUAGGGAAAUAAGAUCUGAAAUCUUCAAUCUAUUCCACUGUUGUCCAAGGAAGUAGAAUUACUGGCUUUAAUGUACUCCACUGUAACCACAUGGAGGUAAAAUCUGCCAUCUUCGAUCUGCUUCGCUGUCAAUGCAGGAAUGCAAGAUCUGCUAUCCUUAACUUGCUCCACUACAACCGAGGAAGGCAAGGCUUUGUUUUCGAUCUGCUUCGCUGUCGAUGCAGGAAGGCAAUAUCUGCUAUUUUCACUGAUCUAUUCUCUGGGGAACAUGACCUGUAUAAUGAACCUAAUUAUGCCUAAUGAUUAGGAUGGCAUGAUCAAAAUGCAUCAAAUGCUCCUAACUAGACAUGUGUGAAUGGUGUUUGCAUGAAUGCAAAAUUUUAUUUUUUCGAGAAUGAUCCCGCUUAGGUUGUCAUUACUCGAAGUUUAUUAAGGCUUUGUGACUGGCGUGCUACAAUGCCUUCUUACUUGACUGGCUUUUCUGAAGAAACAUUUAGCCAGGUUGCCCCCCACUGUGAACCUCCAAGUUUAAUCCAUUGGGGCGCAAAAAUUCAUACCAUCGUUCUCCCACUGUAACCCAAAAGUAUAUGGCUUUUCUUCAAUCCUCUCCUAUCACAAUUCAAGGAUACAUGAUCUAAAUCUUUCUAGUCUCUUACACCAUUCCCAGGGUGUCGUACCAAAGGCUCAUGUACAAAUGAAGGCUCUCUUCCCGAGGCAACCUCUUUCUAUUGCCUGGUGAUCAUUACUUGCUUGUUGAUUUAGGCUUUAUCAUCAACACGACAUCUUAUUAUUUUGUUCAACCAAUGUUUUUGACAACAAAAUCCAAAGUGAAAGUCCUAGUUUAGACUCUUCUUUUUCAGAUUUCCAACCUUUAAACCUGGUGCGUUCUAAAUAAUAGCCCUGUUUCAGGCUCCUAUAUUAUUUAGAAACUUCUAGAGUAAUAUGUAAAACUUCCCUUCUGAAAGUUUUAUUAGUCCAUUGAUCAUUAUUCCAAUGCAGCAUGCUUACAAAAAGGUCAUAACAAGUGAUAAGAAUAAAUUAUAGUAAAAAAAAGAUAACAAAGAAAUUGAUUGGGAAUGUGUAUAUUUGAAAAGAAUGAAGUAUUCCAAGAAUAACAAAUUCAAUAGUAUGAAAAUUGGGUGCCCCAGAUAUCGUAGCUUGAACUUCUCUGUACAAACUUUUUGAAAAUUCUUCUGAGUUUGACAUGUGUUUAGGAGAUCCACAGUACUCUGCCAAUGCCCCAAGAUUUUGUCUACUCUUUCCUGUUGAUUCAGAUAUAACUAGAUCACCACAUGCCCCAAUCUGAUCAAGAUUCGAGUUGCUCUGAUCACCUCAUGCCCCAUUUUGAUCAAUAUUUGAGCCGCCCUUUUCGGGUUUUCAACUCAAAUCCCCUUUAGUCUCAAGGCGUCCUUUGCGGAUUUUCACCUUGGCCUCUCCCUUUUUUUUGAAAUAUUUUUUAUUGAAUCUGAACUCGUAAGAUUAGGCAUGUCCUUGUUAUCCUUUCUGAUCAAAGUCGAUGCUUUUUCGGAUAAGGCCUUCCACAUAAGGUCCUUCCUAGCUUGGGAUGAAGUUCUUUUUGUAUGGGAAGGAUCUUCUUCAAUACCAGGUCCCUCUCAAGGAAUUCUUUAAGACGGUCCUUUUUUGUGAGCUCGCAUCAUUAAUUUUGGUGCAUUUGACCAUGACGGAUAACUUUGAACAUUCUUCCUCGAUCGGUAUUGGAUCAAAAAACUCAGAGAGAAAGAAUCUUGUCUUCAAUAGGCAAAACCGUAAUGGACCCAAGAGAAAGACAUUGCCCUGGUAGAUUUUUUUUUGUCAUCCCCUUUUUGGCGAUAUGGCAUUAAUCAUGAACAGACUGCAAACUUUUGAUAUUGUGCUGUUGUUUAGUACAUUGUCAGAUAUGAUCCUUUUGGCAUUCCAUACUGAUUCUUCACGAAUUUGCUAACUGUCGACUUUGUGACAUUGACAUAUGAAGCAGCUUCCACCAAUUUAGUAAAGUAAUUGAUGACCACAAAGAUGAAUCAAUGAUCGUCAGACUCUUUUGGCUAGAUUGACCAAAUGACCUUUGUGCCCCACAUAUGGAGAAGUCAAGUAUCCCAAUGAUUCUUUGUAGGGUAAGAUUCAUUUCUCGAUUUGUUCUACCAUCUUUAACAGGUCCGGAAAUGGGCUACAAUCUAUGUCAUCUUCAAAGUCAUGAGAUCCCUCCAAACACAUGUCUCGCUCAAAAGGAGAUUCUGAGUCUGUAGCAGCGUCACUGAUGUCGUUGAUAUCCAAGGACCUAUAGUAAGUACAAAAGAAUAUACAAAGAAUGUACGAAUUUAAGAAUAAUUAUUUGUACAAUAUAAUUAUGAAUGAAAGAAUGAUGUGGAAGAAAAUCCAAAAGAAUGACAUAAUAAUUACUCGCAAAGAAUGAAAGAAUGUUGGCUCAAAAAUAAAUGCAAAGAUGUAUUUUAUUUGAAUAAUGAUGUUCAGACAUGAGCCUAUUUCACAAAGGAAUUCCUAUCAUUUUUAGGCUAAAAAUAACAAGAAUAUUCUGAACAUUACUCUAAAUAAGCUCUAAAGACUACAGAGAUUUCUUCCGCAAUCCAAUUACUUAGACGCUUCCAAGUUUAUAAGGGUGGAUAUCUAACAAGCUCCCUUUUUAAGUGUGUCUUCAUAUACGACAUUGACAUAAACGCUCUCGAACUCUUCUUCAUAUGUCGUAUUCAUCCCAUUAUCAAUGUGAUUGGGUAACAGAUUUUUGCGCUGGUGGCCUCAUUAAAUUUGACAAUGCCAAUAUUAAUAAAUCUUUCAACUAUCUUUUUGAAUGCGGUGCAGUUUUCUAUCGAGUGCCCCGCAAUCCCUGCAUGGUAUUCACACAGAGCAUUUGCGUUAUACCAUUUAGGAAAUGGAGGCAACAUUGGUUUCUGGUAGAAAGGGUACACCACAUGUGCAUUAAAUAGGCUCUGAUAUAGCUUGCUAUAUGAUAUCGGUAUAGGCGUGAACUGAAGCCUUUCUGCAUUUACCUUCGUGUAAGAUUCUUGCUUUAAAGGGCUCUAAUGGUUGGUGGUUUCUGUCUAUGACCGACCCAUAGUGAUUGGUUUUGAGUGGCCCUUGUUAUAUCUGCCUUCAUUAUUCCCCUUAUUCCCCUUCUUCCUUGAGGCUUUCAUGGUAUCUGGGCGCUCUACCUUCGCCUGUUUUAUUUCUGCUGGAUUGUCAAAAGUAACAGGAUUAGCUAAAUUGAUCCUCAAAUUGGAUUCUGGGCCCAUCAGGCGAUUCACUGAUGUCAAUGUACCAGUCUGAUAUUGUCGGGAGCUGAUCGUAAAGAAUGCCCCUUGUGGACGCUCAUCUAGCUGGACUUGGACAUUUAUCGGAGUACCACCUAGAGAAUAAGCAAGAUCCUCAUUAUCAACCCUAAGGUGGACCACCGGUCUUUUCAUUUCUUCUAACUUUCCAGCUAGCAAUCGGUUAAAUUGGCUCAUCAUAGUUUUCUGUAAUUCUAGCAUCUGAUUUCUCAUUUCCUGCUGAAAUUUGGUCAAUUGCUCCUGUAUCUGUAUCUGCAUUCGCUCUAAUUUUCCAACCUUUGUUCCAUUUCUCUAAUCUCUGCUUGGAUACCGUAAGUGUGUUGGUAAGUUAGUUGGUUUCCAGAUUAAUUGAUGAAUGAUUUUAAUCGAUUAGGCUCUUUUAGUGGACUUUAAUGUUAUGAUAUUAUGUAAUACGAAUGCAUGAAAUAAAUGCAUAAAGAGACGUUGAUUCUGAUUCAAUUCCAUUUAGAGAACUUUACUAGAAAACAAAUCUCUUUACAUAAAAUGGAUAUUUAUACGGCCUUGCCCCCAUAGGCGGAGAUAUUCAAUCCUUUUCUUCAUUCGAGCGUUAAGAUAAAUCUCACGAACUCUUCAAAAAAAGUCUCUUCUAUCUCCUUUUUGCUCGAUCCGGGCCGUAACUUGUUGUUCGCUCAUCCUCGUGAUGCUCGUUGGCUUUUCUUUAAGAAGGUUCAGCAGCUCUCAAAUAAUAUUUGUCAUCUUAAAUCAUUGGGCAACGGAGCCAUAGUCGUGUAGUCCUCCAUUAGAUUAUCAUCCUUCUCUUAUUAUGUGUUUUUGGACCUUAUUCGGACAACCAUAUUGUUAUCCACUUUAUCAAGAAAUCCAUUUUCUUAUAACAAGCUCUCUAUUUAGCAACUGAACGUGAAUCAACACCUCUUUUUUUAUGAUGCAAAUGCAAUGCAAUCACAAUAAAAACAAUAUAAAAAAACAAGUUAGUACAAAGUAAAAGCAAAUAAAUAAAGUACCUACCCGGGUGACCUCUAGGGAUUUGGCAUAGUUCUACCUAGGAUAAGUUCCUAAGGUUCAUUAUAUGCGGUUUGGUUCUAAAGUAAGGGUACCUGAAAUAGCAGAUUCCUCGAUCCUCACCCAUUAUAGGUUCAUACGGACCAAGUUCAGUUCAAGGGAAUACAUUUCCCUAUGGCUGCACGGAGAUGAAAAUCUCACGAAGACAUAGGUACGGAUGUAUCCCGUAAGCAAUCCGCUAUCCUGCACGGAGGUGAAGACCUCACGAAGGAAAUAGCUUCUCACUCCCACUUAUAAGGGUAAAAUCAUUCAACUCAAGUAAUGAAUAAUGCAAAGAUCAAUUAAGCAAGAAAAUGAAUGAAUGCACAAUGAUCUCAUGAUUUUUUAAAAAAAAAUAUUUUCUCGACCAUAAGACAAAAAUUAAUCAACUUUGUGGCUCGACUCUCUUAUUUUUUUUUAAAAAUCCCCAGUGGAGUCGCCAAACUGUCGAAACCAUUUUUUUGAAAAAAAAUAAAAAUUUUAGGUUGUCGACUUUAAAAAAUGAAAAUUGGGAGUCGCCACCAAUCUUUUAUUGAGUUGUGAUUGGAUCACCUAAAAAAACGGCUUUGGUCUACGAGUUUUAGAAAAACGGAUCCGGGAGUUAGUUACGUACGAGGAAGGAUUAGCACCCUUGUACGCCCAAAAUUGGUACCUAGUUAAUUAAUUAAUGUCUUAAUGUCAAAAAUUUGAAGAAAUAUAAUCCUUAGAAAAAACUUAAAAACGUUACGUAUUAAAACCUUUAUCAUUUCAGAGAAAGAAAAUGUCACACCCAAUACGUUAGGGCACGACAUUCUAAUUUUUCCCAAAAAUGAAUUAGGCCAAAAUACUAGUGCAAUAAAAAUUUAAAAGAAUAUCCAUUUAUUCAAGAUUUAAGAAAUCGCGGCCCAAUACGUUAGGGCACAAUUCCUUUAGAAUCCCAAAUUCGAAAUAUUUCCUUUAUUAUUUUUUAAAAUAUUCAUUUCGAGAAAUCAAUGCGUCACAUCCAAUACGUUAAGACACAACGUGUUGAACUCCCAAUAAUGAGUUCUUUAUUUUUUAUUAAAGAGAAAUGCUCGAUUGUUAGAUUUAACGAAGAAAAUCGGAACCCAAUACGUUAGGGUUCAAUUUCCUUGAAAAUCCUAAAUACCAGCAUUAUCUCAAUUUUAAAAAGUUUGAAAUCGAGUAAAAAAAAUGAUGUGAUGUUAUAUUAAAUAAUGCAAUAGUAAAUAUCACAGUGGCAUAGAAAUAAUAUAAAUAAAUGAAUAAAUAAAAUCAAUAUACAUAAUAAAAAUAAUCACAUACAAAAAUUCAAAAAUUUAAUUUAUUUAUUCAUUUAUUUAUAUAAAUAAAUGAAUAAAUAAAAUAAAUAAAUAAAAUUCAAAAAUUUUCCAGAUGAAGGUGUUGAUCGUUCAAGAGUGUGGUUUAACUCCAAUCAUCAUCAAGCAUUGGCUGUCUAUUCAGGAUGCUAAAAGUUCAAUCGGCAGAAACUGAGCAAAUCGGCAGAAAAGAAAGGAAAAGAAACAGUGAGAGCAAAUAGAGGAACAGAGGGAACAAAUCGGCAGAAAAGAAAAAAAACAGAGGGAGCAAAUCGGCAGAAGCUAGAAGGAACAGAAGAGAAGCAAAGGGGAAGCCGAUGGGAGGAUAAAACAGGGAGGGUAAACUGAAGCGGCACCUAAUCUGAGCAAAAGGGAGGGAUUAGAAAUCGGUGGAUUUCACCGAUUAGAUCAGUUAUGUAUUACGGGUGUAUUAACAAUACCAUGAACAAAACAACGGAAUAAAGGGCAAUUAGGUGGGCCCACCGAUUAAGGUGUAAAGUAAUCUGGGAAAGAUACCAAGUGUGUGUCUUUAAGCACACUAGCGAAUGAAGUAGCACAUUUAUUAGCUGUAGAGGGGUUAAAAAGAAAUGAAGACUUAUCUCAUCGGUGAGGUUCCUUCUUAUGUAAAAGAGGCAGCUGAUGAGGAUCUUCAAUAGUUGGGUUCGACUUCUUUGCAGAUUGACACCUAGCCGGUUAAAAUGACGAUGGACGGCAAGGCUCACUUUGGGCAAGCAAAAUGAAAAAUAGAAGAGACUCACCGGUUGUUUUCUCAGUUUCAACGGCAGUUUCGUGACCGAGGUGAAGGCAAGAUAGCAAAUAUGAGGCGAAUAUGAAGUUUUUAUUCUUCUUUCAGACGAAUUGAAAUGAACAAGAGCAAAUACACGGUGAUUUUUUCAAGAAACAAAAAAGGCAUCUAAAGGGACUUUGUUUUUUCAGAUACUAAGGGAUAAGGAAAGUCUGCUU
rnacentral:lncRNA from 1 species